CUUCUGAUGAUGAUAACUUUGUCCAGUUCUGCUACUGAAUGGAGAGCGAUGACAACUUGUGACACUGAGGAAG
ensembl:snoRNA small nucleolar RNA, C/D box 38A